rnacentral:lncRNA from 1 species
GGGGAUGACAUGAUCUUCCUGCGCACGUGUGAGGGGGCAUUGAAGUAACGUUUGCGGUUUUUACUGCGGUCCGAGUGGCCUCAGGGGUAAGGGACCGAGACCCAUCCGGUGUGACCAAUAAACCCGGACUCUCAGCAAUGUGGAAAGAAACUGGCCAACAACCUGGGGUAAAGGAUCCUCACAUACCGAGGUGACGACUCUGUGCACAGACCAACGAAGGAGAAGCCACGGGAGCCGGUGUUAUGUCGUACCAUACAUCCAGGAGUUCAUCAAAACAACUAAGCCAAGACAUGCUAAGAAAGUUUGAAGAGGAAAACUAUACAGUAAAAGAGGAGGGAAUUGUAGGAAGUAAAAAGUUUCUGCUUCAAAGUUCCCCUUCUUGUUAAAGAAUAAAUCAUAAGUCUUAGAAAUAAUAGAUUCUUUUAAAGACUAAUUUUCUUCAAGCCUCCUUGCUUUGUGCUAAUAGCUCUUUGUUAAGCCCUAUCCUAUGUAACUGUUGGACAUGCUCACAGACACAUUCCAGCUCACAGCCUAUGCCCCUUCCUUAAUUGGAAAUGUUAUUGCUUCCUGAAACCUUUUGUAAGCAACUUCUUUGUUCUUCCUUGCACUUACCUAUUUAGGAAAGUUUCAAAUCGGGUAUCAGUUUAAGAUAGUGAGGUCCCACUCCAGCCAAUGGAUGCAGGACACAGCAGUAAGGACAACCCAAAUGCGUAAGGGAUAAAUACAUCUGCUUUUCCUUUGUUCAGGUGUGCUCUCACCAUUGUUCCAUCUGCAGUUGAGCACCCUUUCUGCAGAAAGUAAAGAUGGCCUUGCUGAGAGAUCUUUUGUCUCUGUGCUGACUCUUCUUCGCAGCACCGAUUAUCUAUUUCUAACAAUUUUGGUAUUUCUAACAGGCCCACACACACUGUGUGGGCCAAGCUGCUUCACUCAGUCCACUGAUCAAAUGCUCAUCUCAUCCUCACAGACACACCCAGGAUACUGCUUGACCAAAUAUCUGGACAACCCAUGGCCCAGUCAAGUCGACAGACCAAAUGAACUGUCACAGACAGCUUCUGUCCUUGGAACGGGGUGGGAUUCCACGGACUCUCUCCCUUCACAGUGGAGAUGCUCAGUCAGCAAGCUGCCAGAAGUUCAGAGCUGGGGAAGAUAUAAAGAGGACUGGGCAUGGAAGCUGCAGGAACUAGUCAGGAACUGGGAGUACCUAGGAGUCAGCUCCUGAG